AACGUAGGUGGCAAGCGUUAUCCGGAUUUAUUGGGCGUAAAGAGAACGCAGGCGGUCUUUUAAGUCUGAUGUGAAAGCCUUCGGCUUAACCGGAGUAGUGCAUUGGAAACUGGGAGACUUGAGUGCAGAAGAGGAGAGUGGAACUCCAUGUGUAGCGGUGAAAUGCGUAGAUAUAUGGAAGAACACCAGUGGCGAAAGCGGCUCUCUGGUCUGUAACUGACGCUGAGGUUCGAAAGCGUGGGUAGCAAACAGG
rnacentral:rRNA from 1 species